rnacentral:rRNA from 1 species
AGCACCGAGAUAACUCCGUGCCAGCAGUCCGCGGUAAUACGGAGGGUGCGAGCGUUAAUCGGAAUAACUGGGCGUAAAGGGCACGCAGGCGGCUAUUUAAGUGAGGUGUGAAAUCCCCGGGCUUAACCUGGGAAUUGCAUUUCAGACUGGGUAGCUAGAGUACUUUAGGGAGGGGUAGAAUUCCACGUGUAGUGGUGAAAUGCGUAGAGAUGUGGAGGAAU